GGCGCAGUGGCGGAGUGGUCUAACGCGCAAGACUAGAAUCUCUAGAGAAAUUCUGUGAUCUUGUUCCUUCGGGAGCGUCUGUUCGAAUCAGGCCUGCGUCG